rnacentral:rRNA from 1 species
UACGGGGGCAAGCGUUGUUCGGAAUUACUGGGCGUAAAGGGUCUGUAGGUGGCUUUGCUAAGUCAGACGUGAAAUCCCCAGCUCAACCUGGGAACUGCGUCUGAUACUGGAUGGCUUGAAUCCGGGAGAGGGAUGCAGAAUUCCAGGUGUAGCGGUGAAAUGCGUAGAUAUCUGGAGGAAUACCGGUGGCGAAGGCGGCAUCCUGGACCGGCAUUGACGCUGAGGAGCGAAAGCCAGGGGAGCAAACGGGG